UGAGCCACCAAGGUGCCCCACUGUCUCAUGUUUUAUCAUUAAAAGGGGAUAACGUGGAAGGAGACACAAAAUAAAUAUUUAGAAAAUACGGAGGAUACUUAGAUGCAGGAUGUCUAGUAAAGGUUGAGCUCAGGCUUGGCCUCUAGGCAGAGAAACCUUAAAUACCCCUACCAUAAACAACAAACCCCCGAAAGAACAUGGCCUACAUGAUUCCACUACAUUUCCAACCCAUAUACCUCUAUCUUUGUUGUUGUUUUUCACUUGAAAGGCCAACGGCAGUGAAACCAUUCUAUGAAGGAAGCAGGGAAUGGAAGAAAGAAAAAUAUAUGGAGUAGAGACUCCCGUGAAUUUUCCCAAAACCAUGUUCCUUUCCCUGCUGGGCAGAGACUGCAUUUCCCAGGCUCUCUCUUGUAGGCAGCUCAUGGUGAAAUGGAGAGAGUUCUUCCUAGGGCAUGGAGGAGGGAGGAACCACAAGAUGGAAAUAGCCUGGGCCCUUGACUAACCGCAUGGAAAGAAGUCUGCAAGGCCGGGGACACCUGCACAGACUUUGACACUCAGAAUCUGAAGUCAGUCUGGCCCUGCUUGGAAGCCUCCACUUGGCAUUGCUUGCUCCUCAGCUGAAUGUAUGUCCUGUCCAUUCUCCAGCCUAGAGGGGUCAGGACGACUCUCGCAAACCUCCACAGGUGGUGAUGGUCUUUUGGGGACCAGGAGUGACCCAUUCUGGCUCUGGAUGUUUAUGAGAUCAGCAUUUUUAACUGAACAAAGCAUGGAUGGAGCAAAGGUUGCAUCUUAAGUCUGAGACCACCACAAAAUAGAAGGCAGGGAUGCCACAGUCAACAUCAGGCAGGACCCAGCUGUUUGGACUGAAAUGACACAGCUGAUGUCAAUUUCCUGGGAUAUCAAAGUGCUUUAGAUGAAAAUCACCAUGGCAGGCUAGCACCGCAUCCAAGCCAGACCAGAAGCGCGAGCUGACUGAGUUCAUCACGCCGUGCGGCCCUGACUGGUGUCCUUUCUUGAGGCAUCAGUAAGAUCCAGGCUGACCUCCCCCAACCCCACGGCCACACAGCCUGCCCUUAUCCCCAGGCCUUGGCCUUCCAAGGUUGGGCUGUUGUGUGAUUUUGCUCAUGACAGUUCCCUCACCUCCUGGAAGAGUGGGUGUCACAUUAGGGCAGAACGGGGCCCAUCUGUACAUCCGGUGACAGAAGUUCUUCAGAGCUUCUAGUACUGAUAGUUUCAUGUUCCAGUGAUCACUCACUUCAAUAUAACAGUAGCUCGCCACCCUUACCAAAAAAGUUCAAAAGUUUCUUAAAAAGUUUCUCCUGGGGGCUAUUUAAAAAAUGAGCGCAUUGUCCGUUCUCCUUAUGGGAAUCCCCAGCAAAGUGGCGGCAAGAACUGUCGCAUGCUCAAAGAGUAGACUGGUUUCCCCUGCUGGAUGCCCGAGCUUUACCUGGCCAGUAUCCCUCAGAGCAGCAUCCCCAUCCUUCUCUUCAAGGUCUGCCAGAUUCCCAGUGAGAAAAACUCCGUGCCAAUGUUCCUGCCCCUUCUGUAAUCUAAAGUCUUGGCCUCAUAAAAAGUUGGGAAUUCCUGGUUUAAACCCCACAGGCUAAGUAUAAACCAACCAUGUUUGCACUUUGUUCUUAAAAGAAGAAACACUCGAUGAUUCCAGAAACACCAAGGUCAUUUUCUCAAUAGUUUCUCCAAGCCAUACUGGUUCUGGAACAAAGACUUCAACAAAACGUUUCUUUUCCAUCAAAAGUAAAAGAAUACGAGUAAGCCCUAAAGAUAUCUCUGCCUGUUUGUUUGAAUUCUGUCCUUGGGAGCCAUACUGAGUAAGUAUCCCUCCUCUAAACAACAGGUCUUUCAUUUAUCAACAUUUAGCCACCAAAUCUGAGUCUUUGUGGUGCUCAACUCCCUGUGACGGCCAGCCUCCCAGAUGGCUGCUGGGAUCCCCAACUCCUGGUAUUCAUGGCCUUGUGAUGUCCCCUCCCACACUGUCUCGGGGUGUGUGACUUCAGAGGUUAGGUCACAAAAGGUACUGUAACUUCUUCCUCGCACAUGCUCACUCGUCUUCUCUCUCCUGGCUUGCUCUGGGGGAAGCUGGUUGCCAGGUCAUCAGGACGCUCAAAGAAGGUCCCUGUGGCAAGAAAAUGAGGCCUCCUGCCAAAAGUUAUGUGGAUGAGCUAUUAUCUGGCUUUCAGUCAAGCUUCCAGAUGACAGCGAAGCCCCAGUGUUAGGAAAGACCCUGAAUCAGAACCUCCAGCUAAGCUGCUUCUGAAUUCCUGAUUCUCAGAACCUGUGUGUGAUACAGGUUUAUUGAUACAGGCUGCUAAAUUUUGGAGUAAUUUGUUAUACAGCAAUAGAUAAAUGUACACUCUAUGUUCCUAUAGCUUCUCUUCAGGUGAAAAAAUCUGUAAACACUUUACCUCAGAAUGGAUUCUGACUUUUAGUACCCAUCUUAAAAUAGUCUACUACAGAGUAAUCAUGACGAUAAUAACACCAAUAACAAAAAUAUUUACCAAAUGCUUUAGGGGUUGGCCUCUGUGCUAAGAGUUUUACAUGGACCAUUUAGAUUCAUUCUUAGAAGAACUCUGUGACUUCAUAGUCCUAUUAUUCUACCCAUUUUAUAGGUGGGGAAUACAGGUAUAGAGAAGUGUAGGGCCUUGUCCAAAGGCAUGAAGCUCCAAGACGCUGAGAGGAAAUCUAAAAACAGGCAGAGUGACCCCAGAGCCCAUGCUCUACAGCUCUGGGCUAUGGGGAACAGAGUACAGUAGGAAUACCAUAUCCCAUGACCUCCUUUCUAUACUACCAUAACUUAAUUCUCCAUCAAUUUUGCCAGCAGCCCUGGAAUGCUAUCAGGUUAUAUAAACUUGUGGUCAACUAAGGCCUCUAGCUUUUUUCCACAGAAUCUGCUGUCAAACUUGGCCUCCUAUCCCUAAUUACUCUUUUUACCCCCAAUUAAAUCAUUCUCAACCUAA